rnacentral:rRNA from 1 species
UACGUAGGGGGCAAGGCGUUGUCCGGAAUCAUUGGGCGUAAAGAGCGUGUAGGCGGUCCGGUAAGUCUGGUGUGAAAUCUCCACGCUCAACGUGGAGGGGCCACCCGAUACUGCCAUGACUGGAGUCCGGUAGAGGAGUGUGGAAUUCCCGGUGUAGCGGUGAAAUGCGCAGAUAUCGGGAGGAACACCCGUAGCGAAGGCGGCACUCUGGGCCGGAACUGACGCUGAGGGCACGAAAGCGCGGGGAGCAAACAGG